rnacentral:tRNA from 1 species
GCCUGAGUGGCUCAGUCAGUUGAGCAACUGACUUCGGCUCAGGUUAUGAUCUCAUGGUUUGUGAGUUCGAGCCUCACGUCAGGCU